rnacentral:tRNA from 1 species
GGCGGCAUGGCCGAGUGGUAAGGCGGGGGACUGCUUCUUUUCUCAKWKUUCAAAUCCGGGUGCCGCCUCAUCAACAAA